GACUGGAACUACGUCUUCAGCUCUGC
rnacentral:piRNA from 1 species